GUCCGCUCUGGCAGCACAUGUACUAAAAUUGGAAUGAUACAGAGAAGAUUAACUUUGUCCCUGGGCAAAGAUGACACACAAAUUCACAAAGUGGUUCACAUUGUC